GUGCUUGUUUCAGCAACACGUUCUAAAAUUGGAACAAUACAGGGAAGAUUAGCAUGGCCCCUGCACAAGGAUGACACACAAAUUCAUGAAGCAUUUCAUAUUUUU